CCAAGCACCACAUUCCUGGAAGUCCAGAAUAUAGCAAGAAUCCUUUGUCGUUUGAUUCUAUGGAGCCAUUUAACGUUUUCAUUGGUAUAGUUAUACCAAAAGAGCAAGGAGUACGACGGUAGAUCACAUCUGCAACAGAACCAUUACAGAUUCCUUGUUGUAUCAAUGUCUCUGUCUUUAUGUUUACAGGAGGUCCUUGCUUUGCAGGUAUGUACA